CCUAUGCGGGUUCAAAAUCUUUAAAAUACUAGUCUCUCAAGUGGUCAAAUUGGAGUAAUAGAGUCUGGCAUAAGCCAAAACAUGCAGAUUGGAGCUUAUCCUUUCUCAAGGCAAUAAUAUGAUCAAAUUAUGGGAUUGCUGAACAACAAUACUCCAUCAGACAUAGCUUUUUCUGCAUCUGCAGCAGGAUGUAUACAAUGUCAAGGUGAAGGAGAUUGAUAGAAAGAUGAAAGGGCUCUACAUUCUAAGUCAAACAUACAAGAAUAAAAUAAUUGCACUGAUUGCAGAUGGAUCAUGAGUCAUUAGCUAGAUAGAUGUGCAACUGUGGCAUAGAAGACUAGGACAUAUGUCAACUACAUGUUUACAUAAAGUUUUUCCAUUAAGAAUUGAUGAUAUUGCUGAAAUUGUCAAAGGAUGUACGAUAUGUCCUUGUGCUAAGCAAGCUAGACAGUUUUUCCAACUAGCUUUAUUAAGACUUGUGUUGCAUUUGAGUUGGUUCAUAUGGAUAUAUCGGGUCCCUACAAAACUGCUACUUUUGAUGGUAAUAAGUACUUCUUAAUGGUUGUGGAUGAUUUUACUAGAAUGACUUGGGUGUUUUUACUCAAAUUGAAGUCUGAUGUAUGUGUGGUGUUGCAAUACUUCCUCAACUAUGUGAAACUCAGUUUGACAAAAAUGUGAAAAUAGUUAGAUCAUAUAAUGGUACAGAGUUUGUCAACUCAGUCUGUAGACAACUAUUUCAAUCUUUUGGUAUCAUUCACCAAAUAAGUUGUGCUUACACCCCUUAGCAGAAUGGUGUUGCUGAGAGGAAGCAUCGACACAUUUUAGAAGUAACCAGGGCAAUCAGGUUUCAGGGCAAAAUACCUCUAAAAUAAUGGGGAUUGUGUGUUCAAACUGUUGUUUAUCUUAUAAAUAGAAUGCCAAGUGUGAUACUACAAAAUAUGUCAACUUAUGAAAAGUUGUACCUCAAAAAACCAAACAUUGCACAUUUAAGGGUUAUAUAAUGCCUAUGUUAUGCUAAUAAUUUACAAGAACAUGAUAGACUCAAGUCCAGGUCAAGAAUAGCAAUACAUAUAGGACACUCAUCCACUCAGAAGGGAUACAUUUUAUUUGAUAUGGAGUCAAAAAUACUAUUUGUAGGCAGAGAUGUUCAGUUUAGUAAAGAUACUUUCCCUUCCACAAA